GGUAACGAGCGAGACCCACGCCAACAGUUGCUAGCUCGUCCUCCGGGAUGGAGAGGACACUGUUGGGACCGCCUCUGCCAAAGAGGAGGAAGGAAUGGGCAACGGUAGGUCAGCAUGCCCCGAAUUAACUGGGCUACACGCGGGCUACAAUGGGUGGGACAAUGGGUAUCGACACCGAAAGGUGAAGGCAAUCUCCUAAACCCAUCCUUAGUUCGGAUUGUGGGCUGCAACUCGCCCACAUGAAGCUGGAAUCCGUAGUAAUCGUAUCUCAAUAUGGUACGGUGAAUAUGUCCCUGCUCCUUGCACGAAUUCGCCG
rnacentral:rRNA from 1 species